rnacentral:rRNA from 1 species
UACGUAGGGGGCUAGCGUUGUCCGGGAUUUAUUGGGCGUAAAGAGCGUGUAGGCGGCCAGGUAGGUCUGCUGUGAAAACUCGAGGCUCAACCUCGAGAUGUCGGCGGAAACCAUCUGGCUAGAGUCCGGAAGAGGAAAGUGGAAUUCCUGGUGUAGCGGUGAAAUGCGUAGAUAUCAAAGAGGAACACCUGCGGCGAAGGCGGGUUGCUGGGCCGACACUGACGCUGAUGCGCGAAAGCUAGGGGAGCGAACGGG